GUGCUCGCUUCAGCAGCACAUAUACUAAAAUUGGAAUGGUACAGAGAUUAGCAUGGCCCUUGGGCAAGGAAGACAUUAUAAUUUGUGAAGAGUUCCAUUAAAAA
ensembl:snRNA U6 U6 spliceosomal RNA